rnacentral:rRNA from 1 species
UACGUAGGGUGCAAGCGUUAAUCGGAAUUACUGGGCGUAAAGCGUGCGCAGGCGGCUUUGCAAGACAGAUGUGAAAUCCCCGGGCUCAACCUGGGAACUGCAUUUGUGACUGCAUGGCUGGAGUGCGGCAGAGGGGGAUGGAAUUCCGCGUGUAGCAGUGAAAUGCGUAGAUAUGCGGAGGAACACCGAUGGCGAAGGCAAUCCCCUGGGCCUGCACUGACGCUCAGGCACGAAAGCGUGGGGAGCAAACAGG